rnacentral:rRNA from 1 species
UGGGGAAUAUUGGACAAUGGGGGGAACCCUGAUCCAGCCAUGCCGCGUGUGUGAAGAAGGCCUUAUGGUUGUAAAGCACUUUAAGCGAGGAGGAGGCUCUCUUGGUUAAUACCCAAGAAGAGUGGACGUUACUCGCAGAAUAAGCACCGGCUAACUCUGUGCCAGCAGCCGCGGUAAUACAGAGGGUGCGAGCGUUAAUCGGAUUUACUGGGCGUAAAGCGUGCGUAGGCGGCUUUUUAAGUCGGAUGUGAAAUCCCCGAGCUUAACUUGGGAAUUGCAUUCGAUACUGGGAAGCUAGAGUAUGGGAGAGGAUGGUAGAAUUCCAGGUGUGACGGUGAAAUGCGUAGAAUUCUGGAGGAAUACCGAUGGCGAAGGCAGCCAUCUGGCCUAAUACUGACGCUGAGGUACGAAAGCAUGGGGAGCAAACAGG